rnacentral:sRNA from 1 species
AUAUUUUUAUAUCUUCCCUCCCUUGUAUUUCCUAAUUAAAGCAACACAACGAUCAAGAUUAGAUUUGUAUAGCCACUACUACAAAGGCUAUGAAUGGUAACCGAAACCAUACCCAAAAUCGCAUCGCAACAGUGUUGUAACAAUAUCAAAAUCUCUACAUAUAUAUAUAUCUAUGUAUUUUCGUUACUAUUUGAACUGCACCGCACUUUUCCCGUACCGCAAAACGCAGUCACUAUUUGGAAGCAAAACCAAUAUGUUUUUUU